UGGCACCAAGAUUGCAGCUCUACUCUUUGUCCUCUGACAAUAGGAUCUACACCUAGGUUGGGUCCAAAGACCUGUGAAGUGUCUGUUACCCUUCGCAAGCUGCCUUCAUCCCCCAUCCUGGUGACUAUGGGAAUGACCAGGAAAAUCUGGAUCGAGAAGGUAAUUCUGAAGAAGAGAUUCAAAGAAACAAAACUUUCCUUGGAUUUUCGAAGAAAAAGCAGAACAAAUGGGAUUUGGCCACUGGGACAUUUGGAGAGAAACUUGAAGCUGAAAUGGAGCUAAAACCAAAGCAGAAACCCCCGCUAGUCAAACUAUGCCAGUUAAACACUGACAUCUACAGUCAAGUUUGGAGAAACAAACGAUCCACUCACUGCGGCGCAGAUAAAGUAACGCGUGUCUUUCAAUAUAGAAUAUCUUCUAUAAAUUGUCUUUCACUUUA